rnacentral:rRNA from 1 species
CAAUAGCGUAUAUUAAAGUUGUUGCGGUUAAAAAGCUCGUAGUUGGAUUUCUGCUGAGAACGACCGGUCCGCCCUCUGGGUGUGUAUCUGGCUCUUUCUUGGCAUCUUCUUGGUGAACGUUGCUGCACUUGACUGUGUGGAGCGCUACCCAGGACUUUUACUUUGAGGAAAUUAGAGUGUUUCAAGCAGGCAUACGCCUUGAAUACAUUAGCAUGGAAUAAUAAGAUAGGACCUCGGUUCUAUUUUGUUGGUUUCUAGAGCUGAGGUAAUGAUUAAUAGGGAUAGUUGGGGGCAUUCGUAUUUAACUGUCAGAGGUGAAAUUCUUGGAUUUGUUAAAGAUGGACUACUGCGAAAGCAUUUGCCAAGGAUGUUUNCAUUG